rnacentral:rRNA from 1 species
GAUGAACGCUGGCGGCGUGCUUAACACAUGCAAGUCGAACGAAGCAUUUAGAACGGAUUACUUCGGUUUGACGUUCUUUAUGACUGAGUGGCGGACGGGUGAGUAACGCGUGGGUAACCUGCCUUGUACUGGGGGCUAGCAGCUGGAAACGGCUGGUAAUACCGCAUAAGCGCACAAUGUUGCAUGACAUGCUGUGAAAAACUCCGGUGGUAUAAGAUGGACCUGCGUCUGAUUAGCUAGUUGGUGAGAUAACAGCCCACCAAGGCGACGAUCAGUAGCCGACCUGAGAGGGUGACCGGCCACAUUGGGACUGAGACACGGCCCAGACUCCUACGGGAGGCAGCAGUGGGGAAUAUUGCACAAUGGAGGAAACUCUGAUGCAGCGACGCCGCGUGAGUGAAGAAGUAAUUCGUUAUGUAAAGCUCUAUCAGCAGGGAAGAUAGUGACGGUACCUGACUAAGAAGCUCCGGCUAAAUACGUGCCAGCCGCCGCGGUAA